AACGAACGAUGGCGGCAGGCCUAACACAUGCAAGUCGAGCGCCCCGCAAGGGGAGCGGCAGACGGGAGAGUAACGCGGGGGAAUCUACCGUGCCCUACGGAAUAGCUCCGGGAAACUGGAAUUAAUACCGUAUACGCCCUACGGGGGAAAGAUUUAUCGGGGUAUGAUGAGCCCGCGUUGGAUUAGCUAGUUGGUGGGGUAAAGGCCUACCAAGGCGACGAUCCAUAGCUGGUCUGAGAGGAUGAUCAGCCACAUUGGGACUGAGACACGUCCCGAAGUCCUACGGGAGGCAGCAGUGGGGAAUAUUGGAGAAUGUGCGCAAGCCUGAUCCAGCCAUGCCGCGUGAUGGAUGAAGAUCUUAGGAUUGUAAAGCUCUUUCUCCGGUGAAGAUAAUGACGGUAACCGGAGAAGAAGCCCCGGCUAACUUCGUGCCAGCCGCCGCAGUAA
rnacentral:rRNA from 1 species